rnacentral:lncRNA from 10 species
GCAGAGGCAGAGACAGAGAGAGACAGAGGCAGACAGAGGCAGAGACAGAGACAGAGGCAGAGACAGAGGCAGAGAGAGACACAGGCAGAGGCAGAGACACAGGCAGAGACAGAGACAGAGGCAGAGACAGAAGCAGAGGGAGGCAGAGACAGAAGCAGAGACAGAGGCAGAGGCAGAAGCAGAGGGAUGCAGAGGGAGACAAAGACAGAGGCCGAGACAGAGGCAGAGGCAGAGACAGAGGUAGAGACAGAAGCAGAG